rnacentral:rRNA from 1 species
UACAGAGGCCCCAAGCGUUACUGAGAAUCACUGGGUUUAAAGGGUGCGUAGGUGGUCCGUUAAGUUCGUUGUGAAAUCCCUGGGCUCAACCCAGGAAAUGCUUCGAAUACUGGCGGACUUGGGCGUAGUAGAGGUCACUGGAACUGACGGUGGAGCGGUGAAAUGCGUAGAUAUCGUCAGGAACGCCGAUGGUGAAGACAGGUGACUGGGCUAGUUCUGACACUGAGGCACGAAAGCGUGGGGAGCGAACGGG